UACGAAGGGGGCUAGCGUCGCUCGGAAUCAUUGGGUUUAAAGGGAGCGUAGGCGGCCCUGUAAGUCAGUGGUGAAAUCUUUGGGCUUAACCCAAAAAUUGCCAUUGAUACUGCAGGGCUUGGGUACAGUUGCUGUGGGCGGAAUAUGACAUGUAGUGGUGAAAUACAUAGAUAUGACAUAGAACACCAAUUGCGAAGGCAGCUGGCUACACAAAUAUUGACGCUGAGGCACGAAAGCGUGGGGAUCAAACAGG
rnacentral:rRNA from 1 species